GAUGAACGCUGGCGGCGUGCCUAAUACAUGCAAGUAGAACGCUGAAGGAGGAGCUUGCUCUUCUGGAUGAGUUGCGAACGGGUGAGUAACGCGUAGGUAACCUGCCUGGUAGCGGGGGAUAACUAUUGGAAACGAUAGCUAAUACCGCAUGACAACAGUUAUUGCAUGAUAACUGUUUAAAAGGGGCAACUGCUCCACUACCAGAUGGACCUGCGUUGUAUUAGCUAGUUGGUGAGGUAACGGCUCACCAAGGCGACGAUACAUAGCCGACCGGAGAGGGUGAUCGGCCAGACUGGGACGGAGACACGGCCCAGACGCCUACGGGAGGCAGCAGUAGGGAAUCGUCGGCAAUGGACGGAAGUCUGACCGAGCAACGCCGCGGGAGUGAAGAAGGGUGUCGGAUCGGAAAGCUCGGUUGUAAGAGAAGAACGAGUGUGAGAGUGGAAAGUUCACACUGUGACGGUAUCUGACCAGAAAGGGACGGCUAACUACGUG
rnacentral:rRNA from 1 species